UACGUAGGGGGCGAGCGUUGUCCGGAGUUACUGGGCGUAAAGCGCACGCAGGCGGUCUGCUAAGUUUGGAGUGACAGUUGGUGGCUUAACUGCCAAAGUGCUUCGAAAACUGACAGACUUGAGGGCUUCAGAGGGACACGGAAUUCCGGGUGGAGUGGUGUAAUGCGUAGAGAUCCGGAGGAACACCAAAGGCGAAGGCAGUGUCCUGGGGAGUACCUGACGCUCAGGUGCGAAAGCCAGGGGAGCGAACGGG
rnacentral:rRNA from 1 species